UUCAGGAAUGACAUAUUUGUAAACAUACAAGACGUCUGAUCUUCACAUGAAUUUGCAUACUUUUACCUGGAAAAUAUGUAAAGUUUACACCAAAAGAAUACAAGAUACUAUGCCAGACUUUAAACUUGUAACGAAAGGUAACACAAUUGCUUAUUUUAUGGUCAUUAUAUUACAACGAAGAGUAAAAAAAAUAACAUCCGUAAAAACAAAAAAAAAACGUAAACAAAGCCUUUGAACCUGAACAACACCAAAGAAUUUAUGGUGCAAUCGAUUAAAGUGAUGUCAUUUAUAAACUUGAAAAAAAUGUCUAUUCUAGAAAAUAUGAUUUAUUUUUGGAAUUAUGACGUGUCUUCCUCAUAACUUGUCAAAUGAAAGUAGAAUUGAUUCUGUAUAUGAAAUUGUCACAGGGAC
rnacentral:lncRNA from 1 species